GCUCCAAUAGCGUAUAUUAAAGUUGUUGCAGUUAAAAAGCUCGUAGUUGGAUUUGUGGUGGUUCCUGUGGUCCGAUUCCGGUACUUUCGGGGACCGCCAUCCUUGGGUGGAUCCUGUGUGGCAUUAGGUUGUCGCGCAGGGGAUGCCAUCGUUUACUGUGAAAAAUUAGAGUGUUCAAAGCAGCUUACGCCGUUGAAUAU
rnacentral:rRNA from 1 species